CGCGUCUUCUGAUUGGCUGACGUUAUUUUGUUAUCAGCCCAUAGACAUAAUUUAGUCAUGUGACCGUGACGUCAUCAACGUUUUUUCAUAGUUUCUACAGUUUCAUAUGGAAUUUAGAAUUAAGUUAUAAGAAAUGACUGUCAUAUUUUUUCUGUCUAUUCGAAAUAACAUAAAAAAAAUGGUGCACACUGUUAAAUAACCCGCUACGCGCGUUAUUCAGUGUGCACCAAAUUUUUGAUGCUAUUUUUUCAUAGACAGAAAAAAUAUUAGAGUCAUUCCUUAAUUAACUACAUUAUUUCCGACCUUCCAAUUGCAAAUAAAAAUGUUAAAAAAAGCAAAAUUGUAUUUCUUUGAUCCAAAUUGAUGAUAUGAAAAAAAUGUCUAAUAGCGUACUAUGAUUUCAAAAAAGAG
rnacentral:lncRNA from 1 species